GGCUCGGAAAAAAGUUCGUUUUGUUCGCCAGAUCUCAUGAGUACUUUGUGCUUUGAAAGGAAGGAAUCUUUGUCGGUUAUUACACCAGAGCAUACUCCUACUUCCUAAAUUAUUAACAACCAAAUAACCGUGGUGAACUAAAGGAAUUGGCUAUGAAUUAUUUCAAGGAUCUCUUCACUGAAGACAAUUUUGACAGGCCAAAACUGAAUACCCGGUAUAACUAUCCACAGAUUGAGGAUGAGAUCCUUCUCUGCUUUCGUCGUGAUAUCGAGGACGAUGAAAUUAAGGAGGCCAUUCGAAGUAUGGGAGUGCUGAAAUCACCUGGACCUGAUGGCAUUGGAGCUAUUUUCUAUCAAAGUCAAUGGGAACAUAUAGGAGACUCAGUGACAUCGACGAUUAUGCCUUCAUCUACUAUGCAACUUCUCUAGAAUGGCAAUAAAUAUGAGGCAUUCUUACCAUAAGGUGACCCUAUAUUCUCUUAUCUCUUUGUUAUUUUUGUGGAGAGGUUGGCUCACUUAAUCCAACAGAAAAUAGAUGAUGCAGAUGGGAACCUAUGCGGCUUGGGAGGGAAGGCCCCCUAAUAUCACAUUUAUUGUUCGCUAAUGAUAUUAUUCUCUUCGCAGAAGCUUUGUUAGCUCAAGCCAAUGUGAUUAAUCAGUGUAUGAGCCAGUUUCGUGAUAGUUUCGAGAUGAAAGUGAAUGUUAAGACUCAAAUCUUUUUCUCAAAAAAUGUGCAUAUUGUUUGAUGGGAUGAAAUUAUCUCUAUGCUUGGAUUUACUCGCACUGCCGAUCGUGGCCACUGUCUCGGAGUUCAACUUCACACUAAACCAGUAGAGAAAGAAACAUUUUAUGAUGUUGUUGACAAGAUUAAAAAAGCAUCUUUCGUCUUGGAAAGCUACCCCACUGUCUCUUGUGGGGCGGACCACUCUUGAUCAAAUGAAUAGAGACUUUAUAUAGAGCUCUAUAGAAGAUAAAAAGAAAAUUCAUUUAGCGUCUUAGAAUGAUGUGGGACGAAGCAAAAUAAACGGAGGACAUGGUAUAAAGCAUGCAAGGACUUAAAACCAAGCGUUUCUUAUGAAGUUAGGAUAGAAAUUAAUGAAACAGAGAGAUGACCUCUACGUACGGGUUAUUAGAAGCAAAUACAAAUGUGGAAGUGACGUGAUUCCAACCAUCAAUAAGUAGAGAGUAGGCUCAAAAGUUUGGGUUGAUAUAAAGGCUACCUAGAAAGGAGUGUGUGAAGGCAUUGAGCUUGUUAAUGGCGGACAAGAUGUCAAGUGGAAAUGGGAGAAGCAUGGUGCUUUCUCAUUUAAAUAUGCAUACUACUGCUUGUCUAAGAAAAAACCAACGAAGGACAUGAUAUGGGGCAAACUUUGGAAGUUGAAUAUUCCUCGAGGGUGUAAGUCAUUCAUGUGGCUUGUCUUACAUAAUAGGUUGCUUACCAACAAAGCAUGGAAACAGAGAAAGAUGAACACUGAUGGUUGAUGCAUUUGGUGUCCCAAUUGCCAGGAAGAUGUGUUACAUGUUCUUCGAGAUUGCCCGCAAACUUACCAAUUCUAGUGCCGAUUAGUGCAUCCCAGUCAUCAAGGUGUGUUUUUUGACCUGAACCUGAAUCUUACACAACGGCUCUGAUGGAAUUUGAAUGGCCCAGGAAGUAAGAUGCGUCUAGAUUGACGUGAAUUGUUUUCAGUGUGCUAUUGGCUUUUUUGGCAAAGAAGAAACAAGUAUAUUUUUGAGAACGAAACUAGAAGCAAUAAGUCCAUACAUGCACAAGCACUCUUUGUCCUUUCGAGCAUGGCAAAACAAAAGGCUGCUAUAGCCGGGACAAAUUUUUUAGGAUAAAAAACAAGGACUGACACUGCUACUUGGCAAGCUCCUUCGCAGGGAUGGAUCCUUAGUAACAUUGAUGGCGCCUUCUUUUAUCGGACGGGUAUAGGAGGAUGUGGGGGGAUGCUUCAAAAUCACACUGGUUACUUUAUUUCUGGGUUUAUUCACGAAAAUAUUGGCACAGAAAGUCUUGAAAUUGUACUUUGGGCAAUUUUGCUUGGGUUGAAGGAAACGUGGGACUUAGGGCACCGAAAAGCAAUUGUGGAAAGUGAUUCUUUUGAGGCAAUUCAUCUUGUUAAUAGAGAGUAUAACCCUCUUCACGAUUACCAUAUGCUUGUUGGCGAGAUUCAGGAAUUCUUUUGUAGAGAGUGGCAUGGGAGUGUGCGUCAUACUUGUAGACAUGGUAAUGUUGUUGUUGAUAGCCUUGCCAAACUAACCCUUAAUACUUGGCCAGGAUUCACUAGAGUUUUCUCUCCGCCCCUUGAUGUAUUUUCUCUUUUAUUA